UUACAGGCGUGAGCCACUGCGCCUGGCCUGGGACUGUUCUUGAAUGUCACCUUUGCUGACUACGACAUGUUAAAAUGCAAACCACAUUCCCCACCCCCUUCCUUGCUUCAUUUUUCACCGCUGCACUUUUCGCCGUUGGACGUACUCCGUAUUCUUGCUUGCUUGCCUUCUUUCCCCCCGGAAUGUCAGGGCUGUGCAGUGGGCUGGGGUUUCUGUCUGGUUUGCUCACUGCUGUGUCUCCAAGGGCUAGAAAAGUGCCUGGCGCCUAGUAGGUGCUACGUCAGUGUUUGUUGAAUGAAUGAUUUCACUAUAGAAAACUUGAAUAUACGUAAAAACACAAAAAGGAGAUAAAAGACGCCUAGAACCUCUAUCCCUUCAACUGAGCUCCCUGUCUCUGGAGGCAUUCAAGCGGAAGCUGAGCGGCCACAUGGGGAGGGGUUGUAGAAAGGGCCUGUGCACCAGGCAGAGGGAGGAUUAUGGGGCCUCCAGUGUUCCUGCUCUCAGGGAAAUUCAGGAUCCUGCAAAAUACUUCCUUUCCUCCCCCGAGACUUUAGGAGCCCCUGACUCUUCCCAGCACCGGGCUUUUCCUCGGCCCCCAGCCCUGGUCGGAGCCCCCAGCCCAGGAGGCCUGGGAAACAGGGCGGGGUGGAAUCACCUACCGGCCACACAGGACUCUCCGGGGUGAAACGCAGCAGAGACCGGCUCAGGGUUAGCAAACAGUGACAAAGGUCGGGUGAAGCCAGUCUGGACACCCACUGGCCCGGGCUGAUCUGAGGAAUGUCAGGCAGUCCCCAUAUCCUCAAAUGUGUCCCAUCCACCUGCCACAAUGUCUGGAAUGCCACCCCUACAGGGACUUCCGUUCCUGCUUUUAAGAUGCAGUCUUUUUUAUUUUUUUUAGAGAAAAGUUCUUGCUGUGUCACCCAGGCUGGAGAAGACGCUCUCUUCAGAGGGUCAGGUGAUUCAUCAUUGCAGCCCCAUGAACCAGGUCAGAAUUUGCAUGUCAUCCCGGGCAACGGGGGCAUUUCCAGGGCCGCUGCCGGGAACGGAGGCAGACCGAGACCGCUGCGCUCCACGACCCACCGGAGUACCCAGAACUGAAGGCCUCAGGAAGACAGUCGUGACCUCAUGCAUGCACCCCCGUGCAGGAGUGCGGCCAGGCUACGUCCAACUCCGUGGCUGCAGGUGACUGGCAGCCUGGUGACUGAAAGCCACUCCUGCCUGCAGACCUGUCGGUGCGAACCCCCCGUGGACGACCGCUGACCGCCCUCCCAGCCUCGCCUCCGUUCACUCACCCAUUCCCACACCCCUGACCGAGUCUCACUCUGUUGCCCGGGCUAGAGUGCCGUGGCGUCA